GACGAACGCUGGCGGCGUGCCUAAUACAUGCAAGUCGAGCGGGCCUCCGGAGGUGCUUGCACCUCCGGAAGGCCAGCGGCGGACGGGUGAGUAACACGUGGGCAACCUGCCUUUGAGGCCGGGAUAACACCGGGAAACCGGUGCUAAUACCGGAUACGUCCUCUUUCGCGCCUGCGAGAGGGGAGAAAGACGGUCUUUAAGGCCGUCGCUCAAAGAGGGGCCCGCGGCGCAUUAGCUGGGUGGUGGGGUAAGGGCCUACCAAGGCGACGAUGCGUUGCCGACCUGAGAGGGUGAUCGGCCACACUGGGACUGAGACACGGCCCAGACUCCUGCGGGAGGCAGCAGUAGGGAAUCAUCCGCAAUGGGCGAAAGCCUGACGGUGCAACGCCGCGUGAGUGAGGAAGGUUUUCGGAUCGUAAAGCUCUGUUGUGAGGGAAGAACAGCUUCCGGAGGAAAUGCCGGAGGUUUGCCGGUACCUCACCAGAAAGCCCCGGCUAACUACGUGCCAGCAGCCGCGGUAAGAC
rnacentral:rRNA from 1 species